CUCUGGUAUUGAUUGGUGCUUGCAUCAUGAUUUACAUUUGAGUGAGUGGCGAACUGGUGAGUAACACGUGGGAAACCUGCCCAGAAGCGGGGGAUAACACCUGGAAACAGAUGCUAAUACCGCAUAACAACUUGGACCGCAUGGUCCGAGUUUGAAAGAUGGCUUCGGCUAUCACUUUUGGAUGGUCCCGCGGCGUAUUAGCUAGAUGGUGGGGUAACGGCUCACCAUGGCAAUGAUACGUAGCCGACCUGAGAGGGUAAUCGGCCACAUUGGGACUGAGACACGGCCCAAACUCCUACGGGAGGCAGCAGUAGGGAAUCUUCCACAAUGGACGAAAGUCUGAUGGAGCAACGCCGCGUGAGUGAAGAAGGGUUUCGGCUCGUAAAACUCUGUUGUUAAAGAAGAACAUAUCUGAGAGUAACUGUUCAGGUAUUGACGGUAUUUAACCAGAAAGCCACGGCUAACUACGUGCCAGCAGCCGCGGUAAUACGUAGGUGGCAAGCGUUGUCCGGAUUUAUUGGGCGUAAAGCGAGCGCAGGCGGUUUUUUAAGUCUGAUGUGAAAGCCUUCGGCUCAACCGAAGAAGUGCAUCGGAAACUGGGAAACUUGAGUGCAGAAGAGGACAGUGGAACUCCAUGUGUAGCGGUGAAAUGCGUAGAUAUAUGGAAGAAC
rnacentral:rRNA from 1 species